AGGAGGUCGGAGCGGAAGGACGUCGUGGAGAUUGCUUGCGCUGGGGUGCCACACUUAGGCUGAGCUGCAGGUUUUCGCACAGUCGCGAGUUAACCUCUGCUUGCUCCAGAGGCCUCGUCCUAAUCCACCUCGGCUGACGGCGCGGGAUCCCUGGCUCCGCGAGGGUUUCACCAUGUUGGUCAGACUUGUCUCGAACUCCUGACCUUGUGAUCCGCCCACUUCGGCCUCCCAAAGUGCUGGGAUGACAGGCGUGAGCCACCGCGCCCGGCCCCCCCAAAGGCAUUUUUCGUCUCUACUAAGCCCUCACACAAAAUAUACAAGUGUGUAUCGGAUAUUUGGAUUAGGGAUGCUCAACCUCUACAGUUUUUUAGUCCUAGCUGGGCGCCGUGACUCACACCUGUAAUUCCAGCACUUUGGGAGGCUGAGCUUAUAGAAAAGUCAAAAGAAGUUACAGUGAUCUCCCGUUAUACCUUUCAUCUAGACUCACUAUUAAUGUCUGGCCAUGUUUGGUUUUCUCUAUACACGAGUGUAUAUAGCCUCAGCCUCACCAUGUGUGUCAGGAGCUGUUUCCAGUCCCCCCGUCUCCAGU
rnacentral:lncRNA from 10 species